GUGCUCGCUCGCUUGGGCAGCACAUAUACUAAAAUUGGAACGACACAGAGAAGAUUAGCAUGGCCCCUGUGCAAGGAUGACACGCAAAUUCAUGAAGCGUUCCAUGUUUUU
ensembl:snRNA U6 U6 spliceosomal RNA